rnacentral:rRNA from 1 species
UACAGAGGGGGCGAGCGUUGUUCGGAAUUACUGGGCGUAAAGGGCGCGUAGGCGGCUCGCUAAGUCGAACGUGAAAUCCCCAGGCUCAACCUGGGAACUGCGUCCGAUACUGGCAGGCUUGAAUCCGGGAGAGGGAUGUGGAAUUCCAGGUGUAGCGGUGAAAUGCGUAGAUAUCUGGAGGAACACCGGUGGCGAAGGCGGCAUCCUGGACCGGUAUUGACGCUGAGGCGCGAAAGCUAGGGGAGCAAACGGG